AUUUAGGGGUUUGAUUAUGGCUCAGGAUGAACGCUGGCGGCGUGCUUAACACAUGCAAGUCGAACGAACCUUCGGGUUAGUGGCGGACGGGUGAGUAACGCGUGAGAAUCUGCCCUCAGGAGGGGGAUAACAGCUGGAAACGGCUGCUAAUACCCCAUAUGCCGCGAGGUGAAAUGAAUUUCGCCUGAGGAUGAGCUCGCGUCUGAUUAGCUAGUUGGUGUGGGUAAUGGCUCACCAAGGCAUCGAUCAGUAGCUGGUCUGAGAGGAUGAUCAGCCACACUGGGACUGAGGCACGGCCCAGACUCCUACGGGAGGCAGCAGUGGGGAAUUUUCCGCAAUGGGCGAAAGCCUGACGGAGCAACGCCGCGUGAGGGAUGAAGGCCUCUGGGCUGUAAACCUCUUUUAUCAAGGAAGAAGAUCUGACGGUACUUGAUGAAUAAGCCACGGCUAAUUCCGUGC
rnacentral:rRNA from 1 species